UACGUAGGGUGCAAGCGUUGUCCGGAAUUAUUGGGCGUAAAGAGCUCGUAGGCGGUCUGUCGCGUCUGCUGUGAAAACCUAUGGCUUAACUCUGGGCGUGCAGUGGGUACGGGCAGGCUAGAGUGCGGUAGGGGAGACUGGAAUUCCUGGUGUAGCGGUGAAAUGCGCAGAUAUCAGGAGGAACACCGGUGGCGAAGGCGGGUCUCUGGGCCGUAACUGACGCUGAGCUGCGAAAGCUAGGGGAGCAAACAGG
rnacentral:rRNA from 1 species